rnacentral:rRNA from 1 species
UACGGAGGGUGCGAGCGUUGCUCGGAAUUACUGGGCGUAAAGCGUACGCAGGCGGCUUGGUGUGUCGGAUGUGAAAGCCCCGGGCUCAACCUGGGAAUUGCAUUCGAGACUGAAUAGCUAGGGUACGGUAGAGGGAAGUGGAAUUUCCGGUGUAGCGGUGAAAUGCGUAGAUAUCGGAAGGAACAUCAGUGGCGAAAGCGACUUCCUGGACCAGUACCGACGUUCAGGCACGAAAGCGUGGGGAGCAAACAGG